UAUCACUCUCCCCUGCAGCUUAUUGCAUCUCCUCCUCGGUGUGUCAGGUUGUCAGGCAAGUCGGUCUCCUGCAGCACAGGCUGUCGUUAAGACCGUCGCGCUCUUGCCCCCUUCAUCCCGAGGUCACCUUCUGCCAUGGAGCGGACCCCGCUGUGUCUGUGUGUCGCGGUCGCCCUGCUGAUUACUGGUGAGUACUGAAGUUAAAAUCACAGUGGUUGUUCUUUGAACUUCUCUGUAGCAAUAAGCCAUCCUCUCCUCUGCGGGCGCUCAGGCUCGCAAGGUUGCAAGUUGUGGCAAUCGGACUUAACGGGUCAAUGACCAUCUGAGUGCGUGUGCUAUUUUGGUGUACAUGUUUCGUGCGAACUUCCCAGGGUCGACUGGGACAGUCUGUUACACUGCUGUGGAAUCGCUGGACUUAAGAUGCCUCCUGCGGUGGGAUUGUCCCCGUGCCAGUCCUAAUACCACCUACACCGUGCAGACAAAGACUCAGGGGGACCCCUGGCAGGACGUACCGUGGUGCGUUUGGAUCUCGUCCUGCAGCUGCGAUGUCUCGCAGGCCUUCUCAAACUUUGAACUGUACAACAUGAUUCGUCUGGGUGUCCACCUCAGCCCCAGCUCCACUGUCUGGAUGAAGCCACGCAAGUUCGACUACAGUGACUUCACCUUCAGCCCUCCCUCUGUCUCGGCCUCUUUGAAAGACGAACAGCUGCUGGUGAAGGUGCAGUUCCCCUGUGCUGCCAACAGGAGGUGCUCUCUGGGGCGGUGCUGUCCCAUCUCUGAAUUGAUUGACCCCUGGACCACAGUGACUGUGUACAACAAGCUCAAUCACUCCGAGUACCAGAGCCGUACAGUUUGGACCCAGCAAGUUGUGUCCCAUGUGGAGUUCUCAGGUUUGUCUCCAGGUCAGAACUACUGUGCUGUGGCCAACUUCUCCUUCCCGACCUUCUCCAUGGCGGCUUCCCCGAAGUCUGCCCCUCAGUGUGUGGAGACCGUUUCCAAAUCAGGGCGGCUGCUGCCUGCGCUGUUUCUGGGAAUCGGGCUGACUUCUCUGUUCAUAGUUCCACUUCUCACCGUGUUUCUGAGAAGACCCAGACGAGCUGAACCAACCACUGAAAAUCAACCAAAGACUCCGGCGUCCAUUCAUGAUCCAGUCUCUUCGGUCCCCCUCCCCCCGGUCCCUGUCGACCCUCGUGACAUCCACCUGGAGUUUGUGAGUCUUGCAGCCAGCGCUGGACAAAGGUUUGGCUGAACCCAUCAUACAUCACUAAAGGGAAAGAAACGCUCUGGGUUGUUUGCAUUUCUUUAAGUCUUGGACGGCGCUGAGCCCAGGAUGCAGCGACGGCGCCCUGUCGACAUGCCCCUGCAAACAUAGUGUCAUCAGAUCGGAAGGAGAGGAGACAUCCGUCUGAAGAAGGUGGCCAAUGACUUAUACGUACAGUCUAAGACUAGGAAUUCAAUUCUCCAUCGAGGACCUCGACACACACCAGUGAUCCUCUCCGUCCCGACCCCGGAUCAGGUGCGGCUGCGUGCUGGGACAGCGAGAUGGAACCGGAGCGAGGCCUGGACCGUGGUAUCAGCAUCCCAGCUGUGUCUGACUCUUCUUAGAAGACAUGUGGCAAAAAUGGAGACUGAAAGACGACUGCUACUGUGUCAUCUUUGACCUCUGACAUUAAUUUAUCGUGGACCUUGAAUGGAGUCCGUUGCUCUGAAGGUGAAAGGUCACGACCCUAUAUUGAAUGUAUUGUUGAAAGUAACAUGUAAUUCUGUCAUCAAGUGAUAGAAAUGUGGCUCCCCAUUUUAACCAUACGAGCACAUUCCUCUCGUAGGAUAUGAGUCAGAGUGAGAGGGUCAGAGACUCGACUGGUGAGUGAGAGCCACCAAUGAAGCAGAAAUGGUUUAUCGGACAAGUCCAAAAAGAGCUGUUUUCCUGUGUAUGUACCACUGAUUCAGUGAAAAAUCUAAAUCGGGUUGCGGUUCUUCCCCCUCCAGUGACACUAAACAGGCCGGUCCAAACCAUAAGCUUCAUAAACAAGAACGUCCGACUCCCCAUAUACGGCCAACGGCUCCUCAAAAGUGAUAACGGGGGCUGGUUUUCUCCGAUCAUUCGUUGCUCUUUCUGACUCACAGUUGCCCCAUCGGAGCUUCGCCUCCUCUUACCCGUGACUGACACCUCAUCCUGCCUCCUGCGUGAAAACAAGGAACAUCUUGACAGCUCGCUCUUCUGCCUUCUGUUUUGCUGGUGUUGCAUUCUUUCCGCAACAUUGGGGAACAUUUUGGGGGGGGUUUGGCCGUCCAGCAUUGUUUGUUUCCCCUUCUACUUUUUCCAGAGUCCACAGAGACCUGGGGGGUUAUCCAAAGCUCAACCUACAAGCCAGUGUGUAUGGCUUUUAUUAAUAAGCAUAGUGCGUAUUAUGCUUGUGGGAGGGAUGGUUGAUGUAUGAAGCAAGGAGCUGGCUUGUGUGACGGAGCACCUGACAACACAACAGUCACGCUGGACCUUUUGUUUAUUCCCUUUUCUGCUGUUUGCAGUAAUUCUUCUGAAAGUAUCCGCUGGGGUGUCGUGUUGCUGAUCAUGUGGUUGUGUAUUGUGGCAUGCACAUGUGGAGUGAACUGCAGCAAAUCAUGUACAAGUGUAUCAAGGUUAUAUUGAAACUGUGGUUGGAAUACUUUAAUUGAAUAUAAAUUGUGUUUUUGAACAUGUUGGCCAUUUCUUUGAGUUUAUAGAUCAUUUGAAGUCAUUAUGUAGAAUUUAAUUAUCUU
rnacentral:lncRNA from 1 species